rnacentral:rRNA from 1 species
CGGGAGGUUGGUUCGGGAAUUAUUGGGCGUAAGGGCGCGUAGGCGGCUUGGCAAGUCAGAUGUGAAAGCCCCGGGCUCAACUUGGGAAUUGCAUCUGAGACUGCUUUGCUUGAGUUCUGGAGGGGGUAGUGGAAUUCCCAGUGUAGCGGUGAAAUGCGUAGAUAUUGGGAGGAACACCUGCGGCGAAGGCGGCUACCUGGACAGAAACUGACGCUGAGGCGCGAAAGCUAGGGGAGCGAACGGGAUUAGAUACCCCGGUAGUCCUAGUCGUAAACGAUGGGCACUUGGUGUUGGGGGUAUUGAGUCCCCCGGUGCCGGAGUUAACACGUUAAGUGCCCCGCCUGGGGAGUACGGUCGCAAGACUGAAACUCAAAGGAAUUGACGGGGGCCCGCACAAGCGGUGGAGCAUGUGGUUCAAUUCGACGCAACGCGAAGAACCUUACCGGGGCUCGAACGGUGACUGCAACCUGUGGAAACACGGGGUUCUCUUCGGAGACGGUUACCGAGGUGCUGCAUGGCUGUCGUCAGCUCGUGUCGUGAGAUGUUGGGUUAAGUCCCGCAACGAGCGCAACCCUUGCCCUUAGUUGCAACCAGGUAAUGCUGAGCACCCUAAGGGAACUGUCGGCAAAAAGCCGGAGGAAGGUGGGGAUGACGUCAAGUCCUCAUGGCCCUUACGUCCCGGGCUACACACGUGCUACAAUGGUCGGUACAAAGGGUUGCCAACCUGCGAGGGGGAGCUAAUCCCAAAAAGCCGAUCUCAGUUCGGAUUGCAGUCUGCAACUCGACUGCAUGAAGGCGGAAUCGCUAGUAAUCGCAGAUCAGAAUGCUGCGGUGAAUACGUUCCCGGGCCUUGUACACACCGCCCGUCACAUCACGAAAGUGGGUUGUACUAGAAAUCGCUGGGCUAACCUGCAAAGGGGGCAAGCGCUUAAGGUAUGAUCCAUGAUUGGGGUGAAGUCGUAACAAGGUAACC